rnacentral:lncRNA from 1 species
ACGCCUGACACACCCAAUUGGCGGUCACGGCAUGCUCCCCCUCCUUCGCUGCCACCUAAAAACAAAGAAGAAGACAAAUCAGUAAGAUUAAAAAGAAAAAAUUGAAGAGAAAAGUGGGGGGUCGGCAGCCAAGAAAAGAAAGCAGAGAAAAAAAUUCAAGCAAAAAAAACUCUCAAAUCAGCCGAUCCUACACUUACUGCCACUGCACCCACAGCCACCGGAACCGCCGCACCACAACCUAAAAUCCAAUCGCAAAGCAACCAAGCAAAAAAUAAAAAAAUUCAAAAAUCAACAGCCAAUAACCACUUAUUUUCUAAAAGACAAAACGUUUACCUUUGAAUCGUCGGCCACCGAGCGCGAAGAGGAGACGAUGACAAGCUCGACGGUGGUGCUCCAACUUUGGGGUUACCGAAAUAGAAGAGAAAGAGAAAGAAAAAGGGAAAAACAAAAAAAAGAGAAAGCUUUUCGGGAAAAAGAGAAGAGAGAAAGGAGAAGGGAAAGGGGAAAGAAGAGAGAAGGGGGAGUCCGGCCACCGUCGGCAAUGGAGGAAGCAGCAGCGAUGGCGCAACGCGGUGGCUAGGGUUUCCGAAAGAAGAAAAAAGUAGAAGGAAGAAGAAAAAGAAGAAGAAAGAAAAGAAAAAAAAGAGAAAAAAAAUUUAAAUCAGUCGGGUCUACUUGACCCAACCUGUGUCUGACCCGAAUCCGACCCGC